rnacentral:rRNA from 1 species
AUACGAAGGUCCCAAGCGUUAUUCGGAAUCACUGGGCGUAAAGAGUACGUAGGCGGUUUGGUAAGUCAGGUGUGAAAUCCCGGAGCUCAACUCCGGAACUGCAUCCGAUACUGCCAGACUAGAGUAAUGGAGAGGCAGGUGGAAUUCUCGGUGUAGCAGUGAAAUGCGUGGAUAUCGAGAGGAAGACCAAUGGCGAAGGCAGCCUGCUGGACAUUUACUGACGCUGAGGUACGAAGGCUAGGGGAGCGAAAGGGAUUAGAAACCCGAGUAGUCC